rnacentral:rRNA from 1 species
UACGAAGGGGGCUAGCGUUGCUCGGAAUUACUGGGCGUAAAGCGCACGUAGGCGGCUUCUUAAGUCGGUGGUGAAAUCCUGGAGCUCAACUCCGGAACUGCCCUUGAAACUGGAGAGCUAGAAUCUUGGAGAGGCGAGUGGAAUUCCGAGUGUAGAGGUGAAAUUCGUAGAUAUUCGGAAGAACACCAGUGGCGAAGGCGACUCGCUGGACAAGUAUUGACGCUGAGGUGCGAAAGCGUGGGGAGCAAACAGG